GCCUUUGCUAUGUGAGCUGAGCUGUGUCGGGCAGGCAGGGGGAGCAAGAUGGUGUCACAGAGGCCAAUCCUCCUCUGCUUGUUGCUGUGGGUCUCAGGUGCCUGUGGGGAUAUCACGAUGACUCAGUCUCCAGGCUCCCUGGCUGUGUCUCCAGGUCAGCGGGUCACCCUGAACUGCAGAGCCAGUCAGAGUGUUAGCAACUAUGUAGCCUGGUACCAGCAGAAACCUGGGCAGUCUCCCAGGCUCCUCAUCUAUGAUGCAUCCAGCAGGGCCACGGGCAUCCCAGACCGGUUCAGUGGCAGUGGGUCUGGGACAGACUUCACCCUCACCAUCAGCAACCUCCAGGCCGAAGAUGUGGGAUGCUAUUAUUGCCAGCAGUAUAAAAACUAUCCACCCACAGUGUUUCUGCCUCAACACAAACCGUCCCCAGGGCUGCGGUUCAGGGAGGCUCUGCAGCAACAGCUGCUUCUUUCCCGCAUAGCCCUGAAACUGUCUGUUGCCCAUUCUGCCUGAGAAGUCACUUCUCCU